GUGGGGUUGGUCCCGGCGGCAGCGUGCUCGCAGCCGCUCGUUUGUUUUGAGCGUUUCCAGGAGAGAAGCCGGUUCCUGGCGCCGCGCCGCGCCGAGGCCUGCGCUCCCUGGAUUCCCAGAACCCACACGCUCUCCUGGCUGUCAUGCUGCGCUGGGGAUGCUCAGUCCCGCCGCGGACGUUAGGGCGCUCUUGAGCCCGGGCGCCUCUCUUCACAUCGCCUGGAGGACUUUAUCCGGUUUCAUGGCUUUACAUAGCUACUCAGAUAUGCCAGGCCCUUCUCAUCGUUGAGCCAUCCAUCACUCACGUUGUCGGCUUUGCCUUGGGUGCUUCUCCCUCAGCUGGCUCAUUCUCGUCCUGUCUCACCUCAAAUGUCACCUAAGUCUCAUUUCCUUUAAAGAAGUCUGUACUUGGCUGCUGUUUUCCCACACUAGAAAGUAAGCUCCAUGAGGAGGAACGGUUGUCUUAAUUGCCACUGUUAUUUUCAGCACAUGGUAGGUGCCCACUAAGCAUUUGUGGAGUAAAUACUGCUGAAUGAAGAAUCCCUUGAGGUAGGCAUGUAAUCCCCACUUCGUAAGAGUACAGUGGGAGAGAAUGACAUAAUUUAGUCAGGAGCAUAAGCUGUUGAGUAGCAAAGACAAGAUUUGAACACAAAUGACUCAAGGCUACUUCUUGCCCUGCAGCGGUCUACCUACUGCAUGCUCAGAGUGGGAGAGCUAAAUAUCCAAUGCAGUUGGGAUUAUAGGAUAAUUUCUAAAGAAGGGUCCUGCAGAGGAGUUAGGUGAAGGGGCAGGGGGCAGGUAUCAUGAAUCAUGCACAGAAAAGCCACUGCUUCCUGAGACUCUGCCUUUUUUUCUUCACUCCAGCUUUUUUUUUGCCUUUUUUUCUUCACUCCAGCUUUAGAUGGAAAUUUGAUAGAAAGACUCUGCCAUUCACUAGCCAUGUAAUCUGAGACAUCACAACUUUGCUGAGUUUUCACAUGUUAUCUAUUUAAUGCAAGGAUCAUCUACCUAUUGUAGUGUGUCAGAAUUAACAAAAUAUAAAAGAUAAAAUGUCUGACACAGACUUGGGUGAUCAAUAAACUGUCUCUAUUAUCCUUAA